AGAGUUUGAUCAUGGCUCAGAUUGAACGCUGGCGGUAGGCUUAACACAUGCAAGUCGAGCGGUAACAGGCAUUUUGAUUCAGCUUGCUGAAUCUCGCGCUGACGAGCGGCGGACGGGUGAGUAACGCGUAGGAAUCUACCUAGUAGAAGGGGAUAGCCCGGGGAAACUCGGAUUAAUACCGUAUACGUCCUUAGGGAGAAAGAGGGCUUAGCUUUGAUGCUCUCGCUAUUAGAUGAGCCUGCGUAAGAUUAGCUUGUUGGUGAGGUAAAGGCUCACCAAGGCGACGAUCUUUAGCUGGUCUGAGAGGACGAUCAGCCACAUUGGGACUGAGACACGGCCCAGACUCCUACGGGAGGCAGCAGUGGGGAAUAUUGGACAAUGGGCGCAAGCCUGAUCCAGCCAUACCGCGUGUGUGAAGAAGGCCUUCGGGUUGUAAAGCACUUUAAGCAGGGAGAAAAAGUUAUAAGUUAAUACCUUAUAACCGUGAUGUUACCUGCAGAAUAAGCACCGGCUAAUUCCGUGCCAGCAGCCGCGGUAAUACGGAAGGUGCAAGCGUUAAUCGGAAUUACUGGGCGUAAAGCGCGCGUAGGUGGUUUGUUAAGUUGGAUGUGAAAGCCCUGGGCUCAACCUAGGAACUGCAUCCAAAACUAACUCACUAGAGUACGAUAGAGGGAGGUAGAAUUCAUAGUGUAGCGGUGGAAUGCGUAGAUAUUAUGAAGAAUACCAGUGGCGAAGGCGGCCUCCUGGAUCUGUACUGACACUGAGGUGCGAAAGCGUGGGUAGCGAACAGGAUUAGAUACCCUGGUAGUCCACGCCGUAAACGAUGACAACUAGCUGUUGGGAGACAAUGUCUUUCAGUGGCGCAGCUAACGUUUUAAGUUGUCCGCCUGGGGAGUACGGCCGCAAGGCUAAAACUCAAAUGAAUUGACGGGGACCC
rnacentral:rRNA from 1 species